rnacentral:tRNA from 1 species
GCCCUUGUAGCUCAGUGGACAGAGCAGCUGCCUUCUAAGCAGACGGUCGGGGGUUCGAGUCCCUCCAGGGGCG